rnacentral:tRNA from 1 species
GCACCCGUUGCUCAUAGAGCGUUGCCCUCCGAAGGCAAAGGUCACACGUUCGAGUCGUGUCGGGUGCGCCA